GGGAAGUGUUUAAUUAAUGGAAAACCCCCUGCAAUGGUGUUGAUGACUGUGGAGACAACAGUGACGAGAUGUGCUGCCAAAAAUGGCGAGGCCAGGCGUUCCUCUGUAAAUCAGGUGUCUGUAUUCCCCGUUACACCAUCAAAGAUGGAAUCAGGGACUGUCUGGGAGGAGAAGAUGACCAAGAUG